CCUACGGGAGGCAGCAGUGGGGAAUAUUGGACAAUGGGCGAAAGCCUGAUCCAGCCAUGCCGCGUGUGUGAAGAAGGCCUUCGGGUUGUAAAGCACUUUCAGUGGGGAAGAAAGCCUUGGGGCUAAUACCCUCGAGGAAGGACAUCACCCACAGAAGAAGCACCGGCUAACUCCGUGCCAGCAGCCGCGGUAAUACGGAGGGUGCGAGCGUUAAUCGGAAUUACUGGGCGUAAAGCGCGCGUAGGCGGUCUGAUAAGCCGGUUGUGAAAGCCCCGGGCUCAACCUGGGAACGGCAUCCGGAACUGUCAGGCUAGAGGGCAGGAGAGGAAGGUAGAAUUCCCGGUGUAGCGGUGAAAUGCGUAGAGAUCGGGAGGAAUACCAGUGGCGAAGGCGGUCUUCUGGACUGACACUGACGCUGAGGUGCGAAAGCGUGGGUAGCAAACAGGAUUAGAUACCCCAGUAGUC
rnacentral:rRNA from 1 species